rnacentral:rRNA from 1 species
AUUAACCCUGGCCGCGUGCUUAACACCUUCCAGUCGCACGGAAAGGCGCAAGCUUUCUUGGGUACUCGAGUGGCGAACGGGUGAGUAACACGUAGGUGAUCUGCCCUGCACUUCGGGAUAAGCCUGGGAAACGGGGGCUAAUACUGGAUAGGACCACUUCUUGGAUGGUGUGGUGGAAAGUUGUUUCGGUGUGGGGUGAGCUCGCGGCCUCUCAGCUUGUUGGUGGGGUAAUGGCCUACCAAGGCGUCGACGGGUGGCCGGCCUGCGAGGGUGUACGGCCACAUCGGGACUGAGGUGCGGCCCAGCCUCCUACGGCGGGCAGCAGUGGGGAAGAUUGCACAAUGGGGGCACGCCUGAUGCAGCGACGCCGCGUGGGGGAUGAAGGCCUUCGGGUUGUAAACACCUUUCGCUAGGGACGAAGCGUUUUUGUGACGGUACCUGGAGAAGAAGCACCGGCUAACUACGUG